UGCGCAGGUGGGCUUGUAAGUCAGUGGUGAAAUACUGCCGCUUAACGGUAGAACUGCCAUUGAUACUGCGAGUCUUGAGUAUGGUUGAGGUAGGCGGAAUGUGUUGUGUAGCGGUGAAAUGCAUAGAUAUGACACAGAACGCCAAUUGCGAAGGCAGCUUACUAAGCCAUUACUGACGCUGAGGCACGAAAGCGUGGGGAGCGAACAGGAUUAGAUACCCUGGUAGUCC
rnacentral:rRNA from 1 species